rnacentral:rRNA from 1 species
GACAGAGGGUGCAAACGUUGCUCGGAAUUACUGGGCGUAAAGCGCGUGUAGGCGGACCGGAAAGUCGGGCGUGAAAUCCCUGGGCUCAACCCAGGAACUGCACUCGAAACUUCCGGUCUUGAGUGGUGGAGAGGGUAGUGGAAUUCCUGGUGUAGAGGUGAAAUUCGUAGAUAUCAGGAGGAACACCGGUGGCGAAGGCGGCUACCUGGACACCAACUGACGCUGAGACGCGAAAGCGUGGGGAGCAAAC